rnacentral:rRNA from 1 species
CCCGCCCACAUAUGAGGAAGCAGCAACGCGAGGGCGUAUUGGAACGUGCCUAGUAGCGUGAUAACUACGCGAAAGCGUAGCUAAUACCGCAUACUGGCUCUUCGGGAAAGCGGGGGACCCUUCGGGCCUCGCACUAUUAGGAGCGGCCGAUAUCGGAUUAGCUAGCUGGUGGGGUAACGGCUCACCAAGGCGACGAUCCGUAGCUGGUUUGAGAGGACGACCAGCCACACCUCGGGACUGAGAUACGCCCAGACUCCUACGGGAGGCAAAGGGGGAAUUCCUGGACAAUGGGAAACCUGAUCCAGCCAUCCUUAUGUGUGCGAUGAAGUGUGCCUUCGGGUUGUGGAAAGCACUUUUGGCAGGAAAGAAACGGCACGGAUAACGGCUCCUUUGCGCAACUGACGGUACCUGCAGAAUACACCGCUAACCAAUGCAACAGCAGCCGCGGUAAGAAGUGCGUUAAUCGAAUUACUGGGCGUAAAGCGUGCGCAGGCGGUUCGGAAAGAAAGAUGAAACCAGAGAGCUUAACUUUGGAACUGCAUUUUUAACUACCGAGCUAGAGUGUGUCAGAGGAGGUAGAGCACCCGCGUGUAGCAGUGAAAAUGCGGCAGAUAUGCGGAGGAACACUGAUACAGCGCAGUUCUGACAACACUGACGCUCAUGCACGAAAGCGUGGGAGCAAACAGGAUUAGACGUCCUGGUAGUCCACGCCUACAACGAUGUCAAUCAGCUGCUGGGGGCCUUUCGGUCUAUGAAGGCAGCUAACGCGUGAAGGAUCCAGUGAGUACGGUCGCAAGAUUAAAACUCAAAGGAAUGACGGGACCUGCACGAAGUUAUCGUGGAUGAUGAUUAAUUCGAUGCAACGCGAAAACCUUACCUACCCUUGGCAUGUCUGGAAUCCCGAAGAGAUUUGGGAGUGCCUGCAAGAGAACCGAACACAGGUGCUGCAUGGCUGUCGUCAGCUCGUGUCGUGAGAUGUUAAGUCCUGCAACGAGCGCAACCCUUGUCAUUAGUUGCUUACGAAGGACACUCUAAUGAGACUGUUGCAGACAAACCGGAGGAAGGUGGGGAUGACGUCAGUCCUCAUGGCCCUUAUGGUAGGCUUCACACGUCAUACAAUGGUCGGGACAGAGGGUCGCCAACCCACGAGGACAACCAGAAACCCGAUCGUAGUCCGACUGCAGUCUGCAACUCGACCGCGAAGUCGGAAUCGCUAGUAAUCGCGGAUCAGCAUGUCGCGGUGAAUACGUUCCCGGGUCUUGUACACACCGCCCGUCAGCUAAGCACCAUGGGAGUGGUUACCAGAAGUAGUUACCCAACGGUGGCGAUUACCACGGUAGGAUUCAUGACUGGGGUAGCUGUAACAAGGUAG